CAUGCAUGUCUAAGUAUAAGCAACUAUACGGUGAAACUGCGAAUGGCUCAUUAAAUCAGUUAUCGUUUAUUUGAUAGUACCUCACUACAUGGAUAACCGUGGUAAUUCUAGAGCUAAUACAUGCUAAAAACCCCGACUCACGAAGGGGUGUAUUUAUUAGAUAAAAAACCAAUGCCCUCCGGGGCUCCUUGGUGAAUCAUGAUAACUUAGCGAAUCGCAUGGCCUUGCGCCGGCGAUGGUUCAUUCAAAUUUCUGCCCUAUCAACUUUCGAUGGUAGGAUAGUGGCCUACCAUGGUUUCAACGGGUAACGGGGAAUUAGGGUUCGACUCCGGAGAGGGAGCCUGAGAAACGGCUACCACAUCCAAGGAAGGCAGCAGGCGCGCAAAUUACCCAAUGCCGACACGGCGAGGUAGUGACAAUAAAUACUGAUACAGGGCUCUUUCGGGUCUUGUAAUUGGAAUGAGUACAAUUUAAAUACCUUAACGAGGAACAAUUGGAGGGCAAGUCUGGUGCCAGCAGCCGCGGUAAUUCCAGCUCCAAUAGCGUAUAUUAAAGUUGUUGCAGUUAAAAAGCUCGUAGUUGAACCUUGGGCCUGGCUGGCCGGUCCGCCUCACCGCGUGCACUGGUCCGGCCGGGCCUUUCCUUCUGGGGAGCCGCAUGGCCUUCACUGGCCGUGUCGGGGAACCAGGACUUUUACUUUGAAAAAAUUAGAGUGUUCAAAGCAGGCCUUUGCUCGGAUACAUUAGCAUGGAAUAAUAGAAUAGGACGCGCGGUUCUAUUUUGUUGGUUUCUAGGACCGCCGUAAUGAUUAAUAGGGAUAGUCGGGGGCAUCU
rnacentral:rRNA from 1 species